rnacentral:rRNA from 1 species
UACGGGGGGGGUAAGCGUUGUUCGGAAUUACUGGGCGUAAAGGGCUCGUAGGCGGCCAACUAAGUCAGACGUGAAAUCCCUCAGCUUAACUGGGGAACUGCGUCUGAUACUGGAUGGCUUGGAUUCGGGAGAGGAAUGCGGAAUUCCAGGUGUAGCGGUGAAAUGCGUAGAUAUCUGGAGGAACACCAGCGGCGAAGGCGGUUGCCUGGAGCUUUGCUGACGCUGAUGCGCGAAAGCGUGGGGAGCGAUCCGG